rnacentral:lncRNA from 1 species
UUUGACCUUGGUUAAUAAUUUUUAUGGUUAUGGAGAAAUUGAGCAACCUAGUUGUAAGCAUGGUGUUUAGAACUUGGUGUAAAUAUUGUCUUUAUUUAUGUUCCUUCAUGUCAUUUGCAUGCACUUGCACUCACUUACACUCAUUAGGCCUUUAUUUUUCUUUUACUAAGUUAGCUAUGCCACAAGUUAAGGUCUUAGGGAUGUUUUCGGUUUGUUGGCAGCUGUUUCUACUCCCGACAGUCACCCUGGGGUAGUAUGCGCUUGAAUUAUUUUGCAGGCAUGAUGAAGCGCUCUCAUGAAAGGAAAGGAGAAGAAAGUGAUGGACAAUUAAGGCGACAAGUGUGAAAAAGCAUGAAGACAAAACUCCAGAAGCGAGUACCAUGAUUUGAAAAAUCACAAGAUGUUACAUCUUCCUCAUCCAUACCUAGCACAUAUGCUAAGCAUGGGGGAGGACUUGCUAGACAAAAAUGAAAAUGUCGUGUGGAGUACAAUAAUGAUCACGAUCGCCAGAAGAUGCUUAUGGUUCUUUGUUGAUGGCAGUUAGCACAACAGUUUGAACCGCAAGCGCAUGGAUCAGUUGUAGCUUUUCCCUUAGAGUAUUCCCCUAAGAUUUAUCAAUCCGUAGAAACAAAGUUACAGGAUCUAGACUAACUAAGCAUAAGAAAACAUGAUUCUAGUUGUAAGAUGAUUGUGAAUAAGGAUGAAUAGACAUGAGUAGAUACGAAGCAUGAGCAGAUAUGAACAAGAGGUAACUCAUCUAGAACAAAGCCUAGACUAUGUAUAUGUUGUAGUUCUAGCUAGAUGGCAAGUAAACAUGUGGUUCUUAUUCAAAGCAUCUUUAAAUCACCACCUCCGUUUUGACUCCCGAAAACCCCAACCUUACACAGCAUCAGGUCCUGUCAAGAUCCUACCUAUCAGUGCAAGCAGUCUAAGGGCAUGAACAUAAAACACAUGUCUAACUGUUAUGAUAGAUUAGGCAUGCAAUUCUAGUCACUAUGACUACAAGAACACCCUACGUAAUCUACUACACAAAUAGAUUGGAAUAGGCAAACUCAUAACAGGAGAAAUCAUAAAAGGAGACAUAUUACUUCACCAUGAAUGAUUGUUCAUCACAAGAUCUCCACUGAGGCCAUACCCACGACUUGUGAAUCCUACCUCCAGAACUCCGGCAUGGAUCUUCCUCGUAGGGUGAUCACGCUAGCUAGAACCUAGCCUAAGCUAGCCUCCGGACAACUGCACGACCCUCAACUCUUUGUAGAUGGUUGUUCCUCAAAUUCCUCGGCUCCUUCUGCUUUGAAUCUUCUCUUCAAUCCCUUGGGGGCGCCUAGGGGGUCAUAUUUAUACCCUUGAAAAUCCUUGAAGCGUGCUCCACCUUCCCUUGCACGAGCUUCUUGCUUGAGAGUUAAGCAACCUUGAUUUCCAUAAAAUCUGACUCGUCCAGAAUUUUUCUUUUACACAACCCUUCCUUCCCAACAUUGUAUCUCCCACGUCUAGACUCCAAAUAGGGCAAAUCCAGUACCUAAAUUGUGUAGCACAAAAAGAUUUUAAACUUUGGUAUUCAUUGCUUUCCCUGGAAACGAAGUUAAGGUUCCCAAAAUAGCUUC